rnacentral:lncRNA from 10 species
UAUGGCUAAGACAUUAAAAGCAAAUGCAACAAAAACAAAAAUAGACAAAUGGGAUUUAAUUAAACUAAAGAGCUUCUGCCCAGCAAAAGAAACAACCAACAGAGUAAACAGGCAACCUACAACAUGGGAGAAAAUAUUUGCAAACUAUGCAUCCAAAGAAGGUCUAAUAUCCACAAUCUAUAAGAAAUUUUAGUAAGUCAGCAAGAAAUAAACAUUAAAAUUGGGCAAAGGACAUGAACAGACACUUCUUAAAAAAACAUACAAGCAGCCAACAAAUAUAUGGAAAAAAUGUUAACAUCACUGAUCAUCAGAGAAAUGCAAAUUAAAACCACAAGGAGAUACCAUCUCACACCAGUUAGAAGGGCUAUUAUUAAAAAGUCAAAAAAUAACAGAUGUUAGUAAGGAUGCAGAGAAAAAGGAACACUUAUACACUGUUGGUGGGAAUGUAAAUUAGUUCCACCCCUAUGGAAAACAAUAUGAAGAUUUCUCAAAGAACUAAAAAUAGAUCAAUCUACUAUACGACCCAGCAAUUCCCAUUAUUGGGUAUCUACCUAAAGGAAAAGAAAUGAUUCUUUCAAAAAGAUACCUGCAGAUCCUUUUGCAGUUCAGGCCUAUGGUAACAUCUCCGUUUUCAGAAGCUCAGAAAAGUAAGCUGCUUGCUCAAGAAUGGACGGCUUCAAGGUGGCAGAGCUGGAAGUUUCUAACUCACUCACCUCAUACUCAGACCUGCACUGUUUUUCAAGACAGUCAAUAUUUCAGGCCAUCUACUGAUUGGAUGAGGCCCACCAGCAUUCUGAAAGACAAGGAAUCUGAGACCUGGCUGGGAGAAGAGGACUUGCCUAAAGUUAUCCCACACAGCAAAUUAGUUGGAAAACCAGGAUAGUUGAGUAAAUAUCCUGGAGCCCAGCCAAGUAAUGAAGCCAGAAUUCAGAAAGCUGUUUUGGCUAGAUCUUGGAUUUUUACAAUAAAGGGUCUGUAAGGGAUAUUUGUGAAAAAUGUUGACACUUGACGGCUGUCCUGAUUCAUUCAGCUACCUAGGUUAUCUCUGCCUCUCUUUGACUUGUGUUUUGUCUUUUAAGAUGGCAGUCUUGCUCUUUUGCCUGGGCUGGUCUUGAACUCCUGGGCUCAAGCAGUUUUCCUGCUUUAGCCUCCUGAGUAGCUGGGGCUACAGGAGGACAUCACUGUGCCCAGCUCUCUCCGUAUCUUUGACUAGGUUAUUUUACAACCCCAUACGAUAGAAAUGAAGUUAUAGAAAACUGAUAGGAAUACAAAUAAUUAUUAUCCAUGGAAAUGCAAAUUGGAUCUAAUGGAAUGAAACUGAUUUUUUUUCCAGCAGAUAGUGACCACCUUUGUAUCCUUUUGUAAAUUCAUUUCAGCAUUCCAUAUUUGACUAAAAAUGUGUGACACUCCCAAUUUGCUUUUGAAUUCAUUGUAAUAUCUACCAAUUCCCUCAUUAAUUAAUGAGUUAAAUAAAGCCUUUGGCAUGUAUUUAUUUUGUAUCUAUAGGAGAGUCAUGAGUAUAUCUUCUUUUAAAAGGUAUUCUUCAGUAGGUCUUAGGGUGCACAAUACUUACAUCUUAUUUUCUCAUUCUACACUGUUCCCACACCUCACCCAGAAUAAAUGUAAUCUCCUGUGAGCUUCUGAACAUCAUGAAGAAUAACAGCUCAUUUUGUAAAGUCAUUUAGUAUUCG